CUCUCUAUUAAAAGCAUUCUCUCAGUCACAGACACGGUACUUAUUAUGUAGUUUGUGAUCGUCUGUUUCUCUGAAACAUUGCGUUAUUCACCCCUGAUCUGGCUCGUCAUCUGUUUUGAUCAUCCUCCUUUGCUAGACUCCAGUACGACCCGGCUGGGUGGGAGAGAGAGAGAUUUCCUGCCCAACCUCGCAGGCCUUCCCACCAACUGGAGGUCAACCCAUGACCCAGUUGGGUUAUCACAGGCCGGGGUUCCAAUCUGUUGUGGAUUUUCCCGGAGAGAGGCUGUUCUGCAUCCAGGGCUCCUGUUGCCAGCUGCAUCUAGCACACGAUAGGGGUCAUCUGACCUCCAGCAUCUACGAGACGGUACUUCCGGCAUUCUUCAGCAACAGGAAGCACCAGCAGCAUCUCUUUCAGUGGGAGGAAGGUCAACGGGAGCCCAACUGUCUCGGGGAGCAUGACCAGUGCAAGACUGGCAGCCACCAGCGUAGUCCAAAGUUACCACAUGGCUUUGGAGCAACUCAGGGACGGUCUUUUACACCCAGGAUGGUGAUAGUGUGGUGAAGCUGUAGGACAGCUUGUAAGGGAAGAUAUCACUAAAUCAUGAACUAAUUGCUCACACCUGUGCCUGCUUACAAGACUCUGACCAGAACUCUGAGAAACUGAUAUAAGACAGAGCCGAGAGGGCAGGCAGGUCGUGGCAGGGAAGCUGUGCUUUGAUGAACGCUGGACUUGUAGCCUUUGCGAGUAUCUGCAUUGCAUUCACCUUAACAGAGGGAGGUUUUGGCCAGUUCUCCUUAACCGUUCGGACAAGUAAAAAAUCUGUCUUACUUGUCUGAAGGACAAGUGGCAGAAAAAGUUAAUGUCAAGCCCUGCAGAUAAUUCCACCAUGGGCAACUGGCUACAAGAACUGAGCCGAUGGACAAGGGGCAAUGAAAUGUGGUAUGUAAACCUUAUGUAUGUCCUUAGGAGCUGUGUGAAUAUGAAGUCACUGCAACCUUAGAUGGCUGCACCAGACCAAAUGGUGGCACUAUAGAUCUCAUCGUCACCAGUGCCACCAUCAGAUACUAGAGCAAUAACUAUUGAUCAGGUGGACUUUGUCUCAUGCAAUAAAUUAUGUCAAAUAUUGUGA